rnacentral:rRNA from 1 species
GCCAGCAGCUAUAACACCCUGCAACUCACAACUGGCAACUUGCUGAAGCUAAGCAGGUCUGAGCCUGGUCAGUACCUAGAUGGGAUACCUCAUAGGAAAGCUAAGGUUGCUGCUGGAA